AGGCGAAGAAGAAGAAUGUAAACGAAGGACGCCGAAUCGGGCAACCGAGGCAAGGCCCAACUGCGCCCCACCGAUGAGAUGGGGGAGAAGGGAAAAGAGAAGAGAAGACUGCGGCGGAGAGAGAAGGGGGGCUGUCCUCCCCCCUUUCUCCCCGACGCUGCUGUGUGUGUAUACGCGAGGCUGUGUGCUAUAGCAAGCGCGCGCACAAGGCCACCCGGCCUCCCCCUUCUCUUCUCUC
ensembl:ncRNA T28F4.7 ncRNA